rnacentral:rRNA from 1 species
AGCUUCGGCCAUCCGGCGAGGGAUGGGCCCGCGGUGCAUUAGCUAGUUGGUGGGGUAACGGCUCACCAAGGCGACGAUGCAUAGCUGGUCUGAGAGGAUGAUCAGCCACACUGGGACUGAGACACGGCCCAGACUCCUACGGGAGGCAGCAGCCAGGAAUCUUGGGCAAUGGGCGAAAGCCUGACCCAGCAACACCGUGUGGGCGAUGAAGGCCUUAGGGUCGUAAAGCCCUGUUGAUAGGGACGAAGGGCGAAGGGUUAAUAGCCC